UCUAAGAAAACAUAGACGUAUGGAAACUUUUCAUUCCACUUAUUAAUUGACAUUUGUAGCAACAUCUUAAAAUAAUUGUUCAUUACCAGUUUACAACAAAGGUAGGUUCAUAUCUCACCGUCUCAUAGACUGUUGGACAUUUUCGUGGUGUACUGCGACUCCCAGUGGCUUAAGUGUGUGUACCAUGUCUUGACAGUUUUAUUACAGGGAAAGUAUAAAAUAAAGACGUCAUUUUUGAAUUUCAAUGAUUUGUCCAUAUGAACCCAUAGGCUAGGCUACGUGUUUGUAUCUACCUUGGAUGGAUGUUUAUUAGAGUACGAUUUGGGUUCAGAAGAUUUAUAGAAUAGUGAACUCACAAACACCGAGUUAAGGCUUUUCAGAUCACGCCCUACUUUGCGUGAGCGGUGACGCUCUGCAACAGCAUCAAUUGUCACCGGUUCAGAAUACGGAGACAGCAAUACCGGUUUGUUUGGGGGGAAUAAAGCCCAAGCAUUUUCGAGGAACUACAGCGGUACGAAUGUACAUUCUUAUUCCGACAGCGAUUGUAUUAACUUUGGCAAUCUCUCGAGAGCGUGGCGUAGCUGGGGCCUUGGCCGGCGGAUGCUGGCUGGUCCCUCUCGAUGGUGUCUCCCACCAUGAAGGCGGUGGUGGACGCUGUGUGGGCGGUGUGGAGCAUCGGGGCCUCCAUCUACGACUACAUCCACACCAGCGCCAUGGAGGAGCGCAUCCACGCGCUGGAGAACGUCAUCACGGUCCACCAGUGCGUCAUAGGCCUGCUGUCCGCCACCCUGGUGGUGCUGUUCACCUACAUCCUGUUUAGGAACCACUGAGGGUCUAGGAGGAGGAAGACGGGACACGGGGGAGCUGGAGAACGGACGCGGAUGGGGGACGGAUGGGAUUUCAGUAACCGGGGCUUUGGCUUGACGAGCUAAUGAAAGCACAGAGGACGGAUGGAAGAAAUGCUUUGUGGUCGUCAAUGUUGGCUCGGAGAAGAAGGGUACUGUAGACCAGGAUGCAAGGACCAUGACCAGUCAAGAAGAAUGGUUCGGCUACCUGGCUACCAGCUUGUCUGGCUACUUGACUCUUGUGUGGGUGUGUUCUGAACACUCAGUCAUUCAUGAGUGACUGGUUUAAAGCCAUGUCAUUGAGCUGUUUCCUUUAGAAGUAAACCCAGUACCAGUUUGAAAUAGGGAUGUCAGAUUUUCCACAUCUCCUCCAUCUGAAGUCUUUUCCUCAAUGGAGUUAAGUAACUGAAUUAAUCCUGAUUCCCUCGCUCACAGCCCAAUUUCUGCCUUAAUACGCCUCAUGUGGUUCAACUCUCCAGAUGGAAGGAAUAACAUUAUUUUGUUGUCAUGUUUGCACUAAUUGCUUCUCUAGCCUGUAUGAGCCAUGGGAAGCUGCAAACUGGGGAUCUCCGUUUUUCUUUUUAUAAUCUAGGGUUCUGCUAUAUGAAUGGCUUUGUUCUCUUCUCCCUCAGGUCUGGAGGUAAAGAGGUUAACUAGCAUGUACGCAUAGAGAAGGGAAGAGAGAAGGAAGGAGAGAGAGCACCAUCAUGGGACUGGAUGCCGUUUUGAACUGAGGGCUUCCAUAAUAGAUUUAGAGUGGCGUGUGUUUCCUCAAAGACAUCUUUAAACUCUCCAGCUGUUCUUCAUACAAUGGUUAACGAUAAUUAGGGCAACUGUUACCACAGUCUGCUAGGUUGGGGGGAAAACUCUCCUGUACUGUAAGUGUAAGAAACAUACAUUAAUAGUAGUUUAAAUGACUGUAAUAUUUGAAUUAAGAUUUGGGACGUUUAUAAGUGUUUCCUGGUAGUCAUUAGCUGUGUGACAGCAUCACUGGAGUAACAGGAAAGUGUGUAUCGAAGUGUCCUUAAACACAGUAAAUAUGCACCAAUCGAAAUGUUCAAGUUUGUAAACCGUUUCAUUACAUUUUCUAAUAUACUGAAAUUGUAAGACAGUUGGUUUUGAAAGGUGACAGGCAAAGGUACUGGUGUGUACUGUUAAAAAGAAAAUGAUUUGGUUUUAAUUAGCAAAGUAAAGUACAUAAGUAUUCAGUCUUACAGAGAAUGUAAGGCGUCUUAACCCUUGUGUUAUCUUCGGGUCGUUCUGACCCAUCAGUCAUUGUGACCCACCGUCGUAUUGCGACAACUUUACCGCAUACAAAAACAAAGUGAAGCAUUUUCUUUUAACCGUUGGGCUGUCUCAGACCCCCCACAUUGCGAAGGUUAAAAGAAAAUUAUUUUUAUUUGUUUUUGUAUUGGGUAAAAUUGGGUAAACACAACGAUGGUUCGUUAUGAACCUUUGGGUCAUGUGACCCGAAGGCAGCACGAGGGUUAAAGAAACAUUUCCCCCCCUAUGCUAAUGUCUGCCACGAUAUAGAUCACUUAUUCACUCCUGAGAAACUGCCUGUAUUUGAUGCCUUCCUUUAUUCAGGACUGGUUGGUCAGUGGACUCACUGUCCUACAUGGCUCAGGGCAAACUAAAAUGGCCCUGUAAGAACCAAUAAGGUUCACUUGGUUUAUGUUUACCAGGUGGUUGUAUGUGUGUACUGGUUCUACCAGUUCUACUGUGUACUGCCGAAGGUUAUUGUACUGUAUGAGAGUUUUGCAUGAUUGGUUUGGAUAUGUUUUUGAUCCCAUUUGUCUUUUACCUUACUGUCGACUGUAAAUGUACUGUACGAGAGGCUCCAGAUAGAAACUUACAUCAGGAUUGUUUAAUGUUAACAGCAUCUAAGUUUGUUUCAAAUGUUUAACAGAUGUAGAAUUGUCAUAAGUGAAUAAGAAAUGUUGUAAAAUUGAAUGUUAAAUACAGUUUUUAACUCAAGACAAAUGUCUACAGUAUAACUCAUAACAUUAUCAGCUGUCAAUGAAGACACUGUUGGAACGGUCCAUCUCUGAAACUUGCAGGGGUCAAGAUCUGUGAUCUAGAUGUGUCCCGUCUGCAGUAAAGUGUACUGUGUUGUGAAUCUCUCCACACUCUCCCCCUCAAGCAUCUUCAUGGCCCUCCAGUGGAUCUUCCCACAGUUCCCAGGUUGGCCCAGGGGUCCAAGUUCCUCCCUAAUGUAGUCCAGCCACAGACCUGGCGAGGAAAAGAACACAUUCGUGUUAAAUCUCAACUGCUCUUCCCACAUAUUGAAAUGGCAUUUUGGCCUUUGAGAUCAUGUACUAGUACUUGAACCAGGUUUGUAAAACCAUGCUUGAUCCAUGUAAUGAUAUCUGCCGUGUUUGUUUAGCUUCUCACGGCAAUAACCCACAGUUGGUGUACUUGUUUGAACGAGCGCAGGUUUUGAUUUGGAUUUGUUUUUUGAACCCCUUUUUCCUCACCGUCGUCUGUGGAGCCAAACUCCCUCAGGGCCCUCUCAAACAAAUCCCUCAGGUUGCUCAUCUUGGGAGAUUCCUGAAACACCGACAAACAUCGGUGCGGUUAGCAACUGGAGUCCCGAGCAUUCGACAGCAUUCUCAGACAACACAAGACACAUGACAACAGGCCCAAUAGUCGUGCCAAUGGAUAGAACAAAUGUCGCUUUUGUAGGUUAAGCCACAGCAUGUGUUGUUGAACAAAGGGUUGGUUUGAGACGGUGCAUUCCCAUAGGGCCUUGCAUCGUUUGCUCACUCGUUGGGACUCGGCACACUCACUUGUUCUUUCUCAAUCUGGAUCAUUCUGGUGAAGAACGCCUUGGAGAACGGCCGGUUCUCAUGUAAACUGAAGUAAAACAUGAAAAAUCCAGUUUGAGGAGAAAAGGGACAGUAUGCAUGGAAAUGCAAUUUAUAAAGUUAUCAUUGAUGCAUGUUUAAAACAAAAUUAAGACUUGACAACAUUUAUAUAAUAACCAACUGCUCAGUUGAUUGUGUUGCAUAAUUUAUACUGAAUAGCAUUAGCUUGUACCUAGUGAAGGCUUUUCUGGCUUUCUUGUAGCCUCCAGCAUUGUAAGACCACUCAAGGUAUUUUUCCUUCAUCUCUAUGGCAACAGCAGCCACUGGCGACAGUAGACCUUUCUGCAAGCAGACAAAUAAUUGAUUUCGUAAAGUUCGUCUUGUCCGGUCACACAGUAACAAGGCUACGGCCUUGUCCAUGUGAAUGUAACCCUGUUGCUGACGUACGUAGCCAAGACUGGACUUCACGUUUAGGGAAUAAGGGUUUUAUUUGAAUGGCUAGGCCACUAUGAAAUGUUAAGCUCUAUGACAAAAGAUCAAUAAAAAGGUGACCCGUU